CAGUAGCCGCGGGAAUACAGAGGGUGCGAGCGUUAAUCGGAUUUACUGGGCGUAAAGCGUGCGUAGGCGGCUUUUUAAGUCGGAUGUGAAAUCCCUGAGCUUAACUUAGGAAUUGCAUUCGAUACUGGUAAGCUAGAGUAUGGGAGAGGAUGGUAGAAUUCCAGGUGUAGCGGUGAAAUGCGUAGAGAUCUGGAGGAAUACCGAUGGCGAAGGCAGCCAUCUGGCCUAAUACUGACGCUGAGGUACGAAAGCAUGGGGAGCAAACAGGAUUAGAUACCCGUGUAGUCCCUGUCUCUUAUAA
rnacentral:rRNA from 1 species